AUGGCAAUGUGGCCGUGUAAAUUUAGUCAUCGACCUGCGUGUGUCUUUCUCUCUGCCACUAGCAUUGAACUCUGUCUCUCAUCCGUUUGUUUUGAGGACAAAGCGUCUGUCAUCAUUGAUGAGGUGGUGGAUGUUAUCAACACAGGCAUAUCUUCAGAUGUGAUGGUACAGUGCCUGGAAGCCAGUCUGAAACCAGUCUUCACACAAGAGUGCCUGACUGACUGGGCAGCUGCCGUCUGUUUGGAGCUCUGGAUCUGUGCAGCCCUAGGCCUCGGUUGAAGCGCACACCUGGUUCAUGGCUAGGGAUAUGCCGGUAUUACAUUUUCCUGUUGCGACUAAUUGCUAAUGCUUUUAUCACGGUAUUAUAAUGGUAUUGAAAUUUAAUUUAAAAAGUGGUCAUAGUACAGUAUAACAAGUUAAAUAACUUUUUUCUUAUAACAAAAGUAACUAAAAAUUUAAAAACAAUAAAGCAAUACAGAAAAAUAUAUGAAGUCAAAAGUUUUAAACAGAUUAAAGUGCAAAAGAGCUAUAAAGACCCAUAGGUAUCACUUUACAAUAAGACCUCAUUAGUUAACCUUAACCUUAGUUAAUGCAUUAACAUUCACAAUAAACAAUAGCUAGAUUUGCUACAGAAGUUAUUCAUCUUUGUUGAAAAAUACAAUUCUUAGUUCAUGUUAGCUCAUUAAAUAACACAGUUGCAACUUUCAAUUUUAACAAUGUGUUAUUACAUAUUGGAAUACCUAAGAUUAAUGAAUGUUCAGAAGAAUUUUUCAUUGGCAGUUUAUAUUAACUUAUUAAGCCCUAAUGUAAAGUGUGAAUGAACAAUAAAGAAUCAAACACUUUCAAACAAUAUCUAGGGCAUGUUGUGGUCCAGAUUAAAAUGAAAAAGUUUGAAAAUAAAUAGCCUAUUAAGUCUAACUACUUAAGUAUUUGGCUCUGAUGAACAUCAUAGCGAAUACACAAAUCUGAAUGGCUAUUUAAAAUUAUUUAAAUAUGUUUUAGAAAGUAGUGCAGCUGCUUUAUUUAUGGGGUUUCCAGGGUAAGGGCUGCAUUUUCUGCAGUUUGGCGCCAUCUGCUGUCAGAGAGGGAAUGUGCUUUCAUUCAGCGCGUCUCUCACGUGUUCUUCUCAUGCAUGCUUGUUUACAUUAGAGAGCACACUCUUUCAAGCAGCAUAC
rnacentral:lncRNA from 1 species